rnacentral:rRNA from 1 species
UGAGAAGCGUGGCCAGAGGGCGGGGUAAGAGGGUGGAGGGAAGGUGUAGUCGUAAGAGUGGGUGGUAAAGCGUCCGUAGGGGGGUAGUCAAGGUGGCGGUCAAAGGAUGGGGCGUAACCCGGGGAGGGCCGGUGGAACAGACGAGUUAGAGUGCAGUAGGGGUGGAGGGAAUUCCCGGGGUAGCGGUGAAAUGCGUAGAGCUCGGGAAGAACAUCGGUGGCGAAAGCGCUCUACUGGACUGCAACUGACACUCAGGGACGAAAGCUAGGGGAGCGAAUGGGAUUAGAUACCCGAGUAGUC